UGAGGAAUCUUCCACAAUGGGGGCAACCCUGAUGGAGCAACGCCGCGUGCAGGAUGAAGGCCUUCGGGUUGUAAACUGCUUUUAUAAGUGAGGAAUAUGACGGUAACUUAUGAAUAAGGAUCGGCUAACUACGUGCCAGCAGCCGCGGUCAUACGUAGGAUCCGAGCGUUAUCCGGAGUGACUGGGCGUAAAGAGUUGCGUAGGCGGUUAGUAAAGCGAAUAGUGAAAUCUGGUGGCUCAACCAUUCAGGCUAUUAUUCGAACUCACUAGCUCGAGAGUGGUAGAGGUAACUGGAAUUUCUUGUGUAGGAGUGAAAUCCGUAGAUAUAAGAAGGAACACCAAUGGCGUAGGCAGGUUACUGGACCAUUUCUGACGCUAAGGCACGAAAGCGUGGGGAGCGAACCGG
rnacentral:rRNA from 1 species